rnacentral:rRNA from 1 species
GCGAUUACAGGCGACGAAGGACGUGAUAGCCUGCGAUAAGCUUCGGGGGAGCUGGCAAAUUAGCUUUGAUCCGGAGAUUUCCGAAUGGGGAAACCCACCGAAAGGUACCGCACGCUGAAUAAAUAGGCGUUCGGAGCUAACCAGGCGAACUGAAACAUCUCAGUAGCUUGAGGAACAGACAUCAACCGAGAUUCCGAAAGUAGUGGCGAGCGAAAAUCGGAAGAGCCUGCGCGUUUUAGUAUUCCUCCUAUCGGAAUCAUAUGGAAAGAUGAACCAUAGCGGGUGAUAGUCCCGUACGGAAAAGGCGGAAUAUGGAACUAGGCGCGCGAAAAGUAGGGCGGGACACGUGAAAUCCUGUCUGAAGAUGGGGGACCAUCCUCCAAGGCUAAAUACUACGUAAUCGACCGAUAGUGAACUAGUACCGUGA